rnacentral:rRNA from 1 species
GACGAACGCUGGCGGCGUGCUUAACACAUGCAAGUCGAGCGGUAAGGCCCUUUCGGGGGUACACGAGCGGCGAACGGGUGAGUAACACGUGGGUGACCUGCCUUUAGCUCUGGGAUAAGCCUGGGAAACUGGGUCUAAUACCGGAUAUGACUCCGCGGUGCAUGCUGUGGGGUGGAAAGCCUUGUGCGGCUGGAGAUGGGCCCGCGGCCUAUCAGCUUGUUGGUGGGGUGAUGGCCUACCAAGGCGACGACGGGUAGCCGGCCUGAGAGGGCGACCGGCCACACUGGGACUGAGACACGGCCCAGACUCCUACGGGAGGCAGCAGUGGGGAAUCUUGCGCAAUGGGCGAAAGCCUGACGCAGCGACGCCGCGUGAGGGAUGACGGCCUGGUGUAA